AUGGGGAGGGCCGUCGCUACCAUGUCUCCCCUCCAGAUGGUCUUCUUGCGACGACCAGCUGCUGGCGAUUUGGCCGUGACGGCGAGCCCAACCUCGGAUCUGUCCGUGACGGUUAACCCCCGGAUCUGUCUCCAUCUUCCUCCCCCUCCAUUGGUUGCUGGCCGUGACGGUGAUCCCAACCUCGGAGAGGAAGGAGCACGAGCUGCGGCAGAUUCACUAUGGAAAAAAUGCGCCAUGUUUCCUGGAGUUGGCUCAAUUCCUCUCCCCCGACGAGGAUCCCGUGCUCCCCUACCCGAACCACGCAUCCAGGAGCUCCUCCCGGCCCACGGCGAUCUCCUGUGCGCGGCACCACCACUCUUCCUUCGAAUCAAGGCAUAA
rnacentral:rRNA from 1 species